rnacentral:tRNA from 1 species
GCAGACCGACCAGACCAUCUGCGUCAGUUUGAAACUCAAUAGUUUGUGGAGGAUAACAAAUACGGUCUUUGGC